rnacentral:misc_RNA from 1 species
GCAGCCAGUCGAGCGUGGUGAGACCGGGUUCGCCGAGAAACGGCCAGGUCUGAGUUUUCGCAGCCUGAUUGGAUGUCAGCAUACGCUGGGUGUUGAUCACCGCCUUCGGCGUUCCGGUCGAACCCGAGGUGAACAGAAACUUCGCGAUGGUGUCAUGGCUGACGGCGGCGAAGGCGCGCGCGACAUCCGGCGUUUCCGCAGCGGCGGUC